UACGGGGGGGGCAAGCGUUGUUCGGAAUUACUGGGCGUAAAGGGCUCGUAGGCGGCCAACUAAGUCAGACGUGAAAUCCCUCGGCUUAACCGGGGAACGGCCUCUGAUACUGGAUGGCUUGAGUUCGGGAGAGGGAUGCGGAAUUCCAGGUGUAGCGGUGAAAUGCGUAGAUAUCUGGAGGAACACCGGUGGCGAAGGCGGCAUCCUGGACCGGUAUUGACGCUGAGGCGCGAAAGCCAGGGGAGCAAACGGG
rnacentral:rRNA from 1 species